GUACGUAGGGUGCGAGCUGUUAAUCGGAAUUACUGGGCGUAAAGCGUGCGUAGGUGGUUCGUUAAGUCUGUCGUGAAAGCCCCGGGCUCAACCUGGGAAUGGCGAUGGAUACUGGCGGGCUAGAGUGCGGUAGAGGAGAGUGGAAUUCCCGGUGUAGCAGUGAAAAUGCGUAGAGAUCGGGAGGAACAUCAGUUGCGGAAGGCGGCUCUCUGGACCAGCACUGACACUGAGGCACGAAAGCGUGGGGAGCAAACAGG
rnacentral:rRNA from 1 species